rnacentral:lncRNA from 1 species
UUUAUUUAAUUUACAAUAUAGAUUAAGAAUUCUAGAUGAGUAUAUUUGUUAGUAAGAAAAUAAUAUUAAUUGUUAUUGUUUACAAAAAAAAAAAGAAGAAUAAAUUUGCAUAUUGGAUUCUUAGAAAGAUUACCAUUGGAUUCUCUCUGGCUGUUGCCAGCUCACAGGCCAAUAAUUUCCUCUUACAUAGACACGCGUCUUCCUCCUCUCUCACAAAACACUCACUAUUUUAU